rnacentral:tRNA from 1 species
UGGGGCGUCGCCAAGCGGUUAAGGCACAAGACUUUGACUCUUGUACGCGCAGGUUCAAAUCCUGCCGCCCCAGCCA